rnacentral:tRNA from 1 species
CGCGGGGUGGAGCAGUCUGGUCGCUCGUCGGGCUCAUAACCCGAAGGUCGUAGGUUCGAAUCCUGCUCCCGCAACCA